rnacentral:rRNA from 1 species
UGAGCAAUCUGCCCUUCUCUUUGGAAUAAGCGUUGGAAACGACGUCUAAUACCGAAUACGACCUCCUUUCGCAUGAUCGGAGGUGGAAAGCUCCGGCGGAGAAGGAUGAGCUCGCGGCCUAUCAGCUAGUUGGUGUGGGUAAUGGCCCACCAAGGCGACGACGGGUAGCCGGCCUGAGGAGGGUGACCGGCCACACUGGGACUGAGACACGGCCCAGACUCCGUACGGGNGCAGCAGG